rnacentral:rRNA from 1 species
GGGGAAUUUUGGACAAUGGGGGAAACCCUGAUCCAGCAACGCUGCGUGAGGGAUGAAUGCCUUAGGGUUGUAAACCUCUUUUCUAUGGGACGAAAAGUCCGCAAGGAACAUGACGGUACCAUAGGAAUAAGCC